AUGUAAGCCUCACCACACCUCACCCGCCCCUCCCCAGCCAGAGGCUUUCAUCUCUCUCAAUCAACACUUCCCACCCAAAUGAGAAUUUGACACCUGACAGUCCAUCACCUUCACUCCUCGGGGAAUCCAGGGAAGACUCCUGGGUGUUCAGCGCGACGUGGGGACAUGCUGCCAGGAGGGCCUGCAGCAUCCCCAACAUGCUAACCACUUCGUCGAGAGAGAGUGGCCAGCCAGUGCACAGUUCUAAAGCACGAUUGUCUGAAAAUGGCAGUGAAUGAGUUCUCUGUAAGAUGGAGAAAAAAGUUAACUUCUGGAAACCCAGUGACAAUAGGACACUGAUCGUCACAAAGAGCAGUUUCUCCUCCCUGGAAGGGGCUAUACUACACUACCCAAUCCUUGACUGAGUGUGGACAACGAAGCCUUAAUGUAAUAAUUGAAACACUGCCUAAGAAAACGUCCCAAAGACUGAGGCCAGGCAGAUGCAGUAUGAAGAGAGUUUUAUGUAUGUGACAUUAUCUCCACCUGAGUUCCAGAGUCUCUGGUGUCAGCUGAAUUUACAGAGCACAGAAGGGGUCACCCUAGCAUUUCUUCUGCGAGCAUUAGGAGAUAAUGCCAAAAUGCCUGUCCUGUCAAAGACUUGCUCUACUAUUCUGUGAAGAGUGAUUUUAAUUCAAGUACUGAUUUCUGCCAUAAAUGAUAACUCACGGAA